GUCUAUGGCCAUACCACCCUGAAUGUGCCCGAUCUCGUCUGAUCUUGGAAGCUAAGCAGGGUUGGGCCUGGUUAGUACUUGGAUGGAGUACAUUAGGUGAUUGUGUAAU
ensembl:rRNA 5S_rRNA 5S ribosomal RNA